rnacentral:rRNA from 1 species
UAGGGAAUCUUCGGCAAUGGACGGAAGUCUGACCGAGCAACGCCGCGUGAGUGAAGAAGGUUUUCGGAUCGUAAAGCUCUGUUGUUAGAGAAGAACGUUGGUAGGAGUGGAAAAUCUACCAAGUGACGGUAACUAACCAGAAAGGGACGGCUAACUACGUGCCAGCAGCCGCGGUAAUACGUAGGUCCCGAGCGUUGUCCGGAUUUAUUGGGCGUAAAGCGAGCGCAGGCGGUUCUUUAAGUCUGAAGUUAAAGGCAGUGGCUUAACCAUUGUACGCUUUGGAAACUGGAGGACUUGAGUGCAGAAGGGGGGAGUGGAAUUCCAUGUGUGGCGGUGAAAUGCGUAGAUAUAUGGAGGAACACCGGUGGCGAAAGCGGCUCUCUGGUCUGUAACUGACGCUGAGGCUCGAAGGCGUGGGGAGCAAACAGG